rnacentral:sRNA from 1 species
AUUAGCUUGAACAGAUUAAAAUUCAGGAUGGGGGCUGUCUCUUUGGGGGUUACAUCUCUGUCACCAUCACCCCUUGAUGGUGGAGAUUCGAAGCCCACACAGUCACUCGUAACUCAUACUGCGACCACCCCCCCAACUCCUCUAGGCCUGGUCAGUGGUGUGCGGCAGAUUGUGACUUGAUUUUCUGCUCUCUGUACCUUGCUGUGUCCCACAGGGUGACAGUGGAGGGCCUCUGGUCACUUCGAAGAACAAUAUCUGGUGGCUGAUAGGGGAUACAAGCUGGGGUUCUGGCUGUGCCAAAGCUUACAGACCAGGAGUGUACGGGAAUGUGACGGUAUUCACGGACUGGAUUUAUCGACAAAUGAGGGCAGACAGCUAAUCCACAUGGUCUUUGUCCUUGACGUCGUUUUACAAGAAAACAAUGGGGCUGGUUUUGCUUCCCCGUGCAUGAUUUACUCUUAGAGAUGAUUCAGAGGUCACUUCAUUUUUAUUAAACAGUGAACUUGUCUGGCUUUGGCACUCUCUGCCAUUCUGUGCAGGCUGCAGUGGCUCCCCUGCCCAGCCUGCUCUCCCUAACCCCUUGUCCGCAAGGGGUGAUGGCCGGCUGGUUGUGGGCACUGGCGGUCAAGUG